rnacentral:rRNA from 1 species
UUCCUACGGGAGGCAGCAGUAGGGAAUCUUCCGCAAUGGACGAAAGUCUGACGGAGCAACGCCGCGUGAGUGAUGAAGGUUUUCGGAUCGUAAAGCUCUGUUGUUAGGGAAGAACAAGUACCGUUCGAAUAGGGCGGUACCUUGACGGUACCUAACCAGAAAGCCACGGCUAACUACGUGCCAGCAGCCGCGGUAAUACGUAGGUGGCAAGCGUUGUCCGGAAUUAUUGGGCGUAAAGGGCUCGCAGGCGGUUCCUUAAGUCUGAUGUGAAAGCCCCCGGCUCAACCGGGGAGGGUCAUUGGAAACUGGGGAACUUGAGUGCAGAAGAGGAGAGUGGAAUUCCACGUGUAGCGGUGAAAUGCGUAGAGAUGUGGAGGAACACCAGUGGCGAAGGCGACUCUCUGGUCUGUAACUGACGCUGAGGAGCGAAAGCGUGGGGAGCGAACAGGAUUAGAUACC